CUACGGGGGGCUCCAGUGGGGAAUAUUGGACAAUGGGGGAAACCCUGAUCCAGCAAUGCCGCGUGUGUGAAGAAGGCCUGCGGGUUGUAAAGCACUUUCGGUUGGGAGGACUGCUUCUAGCACUAAUAUUGUUGGAAGUUGACGUUACCUUCAGAAGAAGCACCGGCUAACUCCGUGCCAGCAGCCGCGGUAAUACGGAGGGUGCAGGCGUUAAUCGGAAUUACUGGGCGUAAAGCGCGCGUAGGCGGCUAGAUCAGUCGGGUGUGAAAGCCCCGGGCUUAACCUGGGAACUGCAUCCGAUACUGUCUAGCUUGAGUACAGGAGAGGAGAGUGGAAUUCCACAUGUAGCGGUGAAAUGCGUAGAUAUGUGGAGGAGCACCAAUGGCGAAGGCAGCUCUCUGGCCUGAUACUGACGCUGAGGUGCGAAAGCGUGGGGAGCAAACAGGAUUAGAUACCCCCGUAGUC
rnacentral:rRNA from 1 species